ACACCACUUAACAGGGGGAUAACACUGAGAAAUUGGUACUAAUACCCCAUAACAUCAGGACCGGCAUCGGUUCUGGUUGAAAACUCCGGUGGUUAUGGAUGGGCAUGCGUUGUAUUAGCUGGUUGGUGAGGUAACGGCUCACCAAGGCAACGAUACAUAGGGGGACUGAGAGGUUAACCCCCCACAUUGGUACUGAGACACGGACCAA
rnacentral:rRNA from 1 species